rnacentral:snRNA from 13 species
AUACUUACCUAAUGCCGGGAACUCCGUGAUCAGGAAGGCGAAGACCCCAGGAGGAGGCCCUCCCAUUGUCUUUGGAAAAGCUGAGAUUUGCCACUCCCCUAAACUGGGAAAGAUGAAGCAUGUGAUUUUCGGUAGAUUUUGCUAUUUAUCAUACGAAUU